CCAGCGAAGGGAACCCAUUUGGCUGGUGCAUUGCAGGCGGACGUGGGCUUUGAAGCCCGCAGGCCGGCUUCCUGACCGGCGUUCUACCAGCAGUGCCAGGGAGCCUCUCCUGGCAGCAUGUCGCUCAUCUGGCAUCGGCUGUGCUUUUUGGGCGCAGAGAAUACGGAGACUGUGAUGGAAGGGAGGCUGGGGAGUGGGGGCAGGGAGCAGCGAGAGACGCAGGGCGAGGCCCGGCGAGGCCAGCCGGCUAUCCGGGACGCCGCCAUUUUGUGACUCAAGAUGGAGCGCGAGUUAGCGUCUCACAGGCGAAACAGAACCGUAUAAAUUAAACCGGCAACGAACUGUCUGCUGAAGGUGUGAACAAGGCCGGUAAAUCCCUGGGAGCUUAGGAAACAUCUGCUCCUUACCUCGAAGGCAGAAACUUGACCAUAAAGCAGAAAAAGCCAGGACUGGAGUCUUUCACUUUUUCUGAUUCCCCUCCUCCCUGGGGCAGGUGUCAAAAUCCACUCAUCUAGGACACUGUGUUUAGAGCUCUGUCAGUGCACCAAAGAGGCUCAUGAAGGGGACCAGCUGCCCGGAUGCCAGCAGGAGCUGCUGCAGCUACAGAUUUGAGGCGCACACCUGCACAGAGUUGGGUGACAGGGGAUUUGUGAGGGAAGGGCGUAUCAUGCAACAUCAGGGCUCUCAAGCCAGAGGGAUGGAUGCCUCCAGGGUGGCAAACUGGAUACCCUGCUGCUCACCUGGAGGUCAUGGGAUCACACCUGAAUUUAAUUAGUCAAAAGGAUUCCAGGAGGAGAGUGAGUUGGUCGUUUAUGAAUGAAAUGAUUAGCUGGCUGUAACAGUUCCUAAUAAACAGAU